GGCGCGCACUGGAGCGCCAAGCUUUGCCGCGAGCCUUGGCGGGCCUGAGCUGGGCCCGGCGCCGAGGGCUGUCACGCCAGCAGGAGAUGAGGGGGUUGGCGGGCGAAGAAGCGGGUUCUUGACACUAAAUUGACAGAGGUUCAUGGGGAGGAUGACACCUAUUUCAACCUAGUGACCUUUGGAAAACAUCUCCCUCCCUUCUGUCUGCUGACCCCAAAUACAGUGAAUGAUGAAAGCCAGUCAACACAUGUAUGCAUGGCCCCUCCAUGAUGAAGAGCACAUGUUUGACGUCCAUACUUUGUCAAACCAAGUAGCACAUUCGUCAACAGAAGCCACAUUGUGUCAUAUUUUAAAAGUUGAGGGACACAUUAUUUCCCUUGGAAUUAAGUGAAAUUGAAGACUUACAAUAGACAGCUGAGAUUUGAUUGCAGACAAGUAGUAACAAACAUUAAAGCUAUGGCAGUUUUUAAAGUUUAUCAUUUUCUCAAAAAACAACGAAGAAGAAGAAGAAGAAGAAGAAGAAGAAGAAGAAGAAGAAGAAAAGCAAAAAGGAAAAAAUUAAAGCUAUAGAAUAAUAAAAUCAGUGGUACCAUAAGGUCUCUGACUCUUGUAAAUGUGUUCUUAGGGGAGUUUAUCCUGCAGGAGUACAGGAUACUGACUUCAGUGUAAGAAACCGUUGGUUACUCCUACAGGUUUGAAAUUACUGAAGAAGAGUUGUUUGACGCAGGCACCAACCCCUUGACACUCAGCACUAACCCAAGGCUCUCCCUCCUCUUUGUACUGGGAAAACAGGAGAGGGGUUGUGUGUUCUUUAUAUGUCAGUGACUUUCUGCUGAUCGCUCCUCAGCGCAAGCUAAGGUUUUCGAUGUUUUUGUUUUUUCUGAAGCUUAACUGCAGUAACUUUAUAUAGAAGCUGAUGAAAGGAAUUCUGAACUGUCCAGUGUACUUUUUAAGAGUCCAUUUGUUAGACAAAAUAUGAGGAAAUGUGGUAUAUUCUAUCACUUUUUUUUUUUUUUUGCUUUGUUUCUAAAUGGCUAUUUAAAUACAGAUAACAGUGCCUAGGACAAACUGGAGGAGCAGGUCCUGCCGCCCUGCCCAGCUCCCCUGCUACCUGAUAGCACCACUUAGAUGACAGAAUGGGCGAUGUGGUGGAAUACGGCUGGAAACUCCCCCAAGCUGAACCCACAAAUGCAAGGAGUAGCUCUCAGGUUGAGAACGGCAAAGGUUGGGACAAAUCACUACUUGACAUAUGCUACUCACAUAAUUUCACAGCCCAGUGGAAAAAGGAACCCCACAAAAGGAAAUAGAAAAAAAGUCAAAGUGAAGGCACUAUGUAACAUGUAAGUUUUUCUUAGAAGAUCAACCUUAGAAAUAUAAGACAUGAAUGUGCACCUCAGUUUUAUCUAUGGAAUUCAAAUAGAUAGUUUUGUUUUUACCAAGAUUUCCCAACUGGUUUCUGGUGCAUAUGUGUGCAUGUGCGCACACACACAAAUAUACAUAUUAUAUAUAUAUACAUACAUAUAUAUACAUAUUAUAUAUAUACAUACACACACAAAUAUAUAUACUUUUUCACAUGAAAUAUGCCGUUUUCUUAAAAUCACUUAUGUUUUUAUCAACAAGGUUUGCUUUCUGUGUGAUUAUUCUGUUCAGACAUAUAAAACUAUAAUUAAUAUAAAAUAAACCAUAAAUCUUACAAAAUUAUAUGAAUGACCAUUACAAACAAAUGUGUUUAGAACCUAUUUUGUAAGUAGCUCAUUGCCUCUACUUUAUUGCCCUAAGGCAAGUGUUUUAGCUAUCUCUCCUAAUUUUUUAUUCUUCCAGCCAGAAUAAAAGUUUUCAACAGAAAGAAAAUUAAGGGUCCUUCUAGGACCAGGGGAAGUUGAGUGAUGUAAUUAAACAAUCACCCAGAAGCCUGGCUUCUGGACCUACAAUCUUUAUUAAUUUUUUAAUAUAUAAUUUAUUGUCAAAUUGGUUUCCAUACAACACCCUGUGCUUAUCCCAACAGGUGCCCUCCUCAAUGCCCAUCACCCAC